rnacentral:rRNA from 1 species
UACGUAGGGUGCAAGCGUUAAUCGGAAUUACUGGGCGUAAAGCGUGCGCAGGCGGCUUUGCAAGACAGAUGUGAAAUCCCCGGGCUUAACCUGGGAAAUGCAUUUGUGACUGCAUGGCUAGAGUGCGGCAGAGGGGGAUGGAAUUCCGCGUGUAGCAGUGAAAUGCGUAGAUAUGCGGAGGAACACCGAUGGCGAAGGCAAUCCCCUGGGCCUGCACUGACGCUCAUGCACGAAAGCGUGGGGAGCAAACAGG